rnacentral:rRNA from 1 species
UCGAGGAUCUUCGUCAAUGGGCGCAAGCCUGAACGAGCGACGCCGCGUGUGCGAUUGAAGGCCUUCGGGUUGUAAAGCACAAAAGGGGUAAGAAAGGGGCAACCUUGAUCGAACCCCAGUAAGCUCGGGCUAAGUUCGUGCCAGCAGCCGCGGUAAGACGAACCGAGCAAACGUUAUUCGGAAUCACUGGGCUUAAAGGGCGCGUAGGCGGUCUCGUAAGUCUGCGGUGAAAUCCUCCAGCUCAACUGGAGAACGGCCGUGGAUACUGCGAGUCUCGAGGGAGGUAGGGGCGUGCGGAACAGAUGGUGGAGCGGUGAAAUGCGUUGAUAUCAUCUGGAACUCCGGUGGCGAAGGCGGCACGCUGGACCUCUUCUGACGCUGAGGCGCGAAAGCCAGGGGAGCAAACGG